rfam:Oryza nivara chromosome 5, whole genome shotgun sequence.
AUCCCAUGAUGAGGACUGGCGGCCAUGUACUCCUGCAGACGCUCCCAUGCUUCAGGAAUAGACUCAACCCUCGUCUGCUGGAAACUUGAAAUCCUUCCACGAAGGGC